rnacentral:rRNA from 1 species
UACGAAGGGGGCUAGCGUUGUUCGGAAUCACUGGGCGUAAAGCGCACGUAGGCGGAUCUUUUAAGUCAGGGGUGAAAUCCCGAGGCUCAACCUCGGAACUGCCUUUGAUACUGGGGAUCUCGAGUCCGGGAGAGGUGAGUGGAACUGCGAGUGUAGAGGUGAAAUUCGUAGAUAUUCGCAAGAACACCAGUGGCGAAGGCGCUCACUGGCCCGAUACUGACGCUGAGGAGCGAAAGCCAGGGGAGCAAACGGG